CGGGAGGUAACGGACGUGGGCGAACCUCGCCUCAUACAGGGGAGUAACAGUUAGAAAUGACUGCUAAUACCGCAUAAGCGCACAGCAUCGCAUGAUGCCGUGUGAAAAACUCCGGUGGUAUGAGAUGGACCCGCGUCUGAUUAGGUAGUUGGUGGGGUAACGGCCUACCAAGCCGACGAUCAGUAGCCGACCUGAGAGGGUGACCGGCCACAUUGGGACUGAGACACGGCCCAA
rnacentral:rRNA from 1 species